rnacentral:rRNA from 1 species
AACGAACGCUGGCGGCAUGCCUAACACAUGCAAGUCGAACGAGACCUUCGGGUCUAGUGGCGCACGGGUGCGUAACGCGUGGGAACCUGCCCUUAGGUUCGGAAUAACUCCCCGAAAGGGGUGCUAAUACCGGAUAAUGUCUUCGGACCAAAGAUUUAUCGCCUUUGGAUGGGCCCGCGUUGGAUUAGCUAGUUGGUAGGGUAAAAGCCUACCAAGGCGACGAUCCAUAGCUGGUCUGAGAGGAUGAUCAGCCACACUGGGACUGAGACACGGCCCAGAAUCCUACGGGAGGGAGCAGUGGGGAAUAUUGGAACAUGGGCGAAAGCCUGAUCCAGCCAUGCCGCGUGAGUGAUGAAGGCCUUAGGGUUGUAAAGCUCUUUUACCCGGGAUGAUAAUGACAGUACCGGGAGAAUAAGCUCCGGCUAACUACGUG